rnacentral:rRNA from 1 species
GCAUAUCAAUAAGCGGAGGAAAAAGAAACCAACAGGGAUUGCCUCAGUAACGGCGAGUGAAGCGGCAACAGCUCAAAUUUGAAAUCUGGCCCCCCGGGUCCGAGUUGUAAUUUGCAGAGGAUGCUUCGGGUGCGGCGUCGACCAAGUCCCCUGGAACGGGGCGCCAUAGAGGGUGAGAGCCCCGUCGGGUCGGCCGCCAAGCCUGUGUGAAGCUCCUUCGACGAGUCGAGUAGUUUGGGAAUGCUGCUCUAAACGGGAGGUAGACCCCUUCUAAAGCUAAAUAUUGGCCAGAGACCGAUAGCGCACAAGUAGAGUGAUCGAAAGAUGAAAAGCACUUUGAAAAGAGGGUUAAACAGUACGUGAAAUUGUUGAAAGGGAAGCGCUUGUGACCAGACGUGCGCCGGGUGUUCAGCGGGCGUUCUCGCCCGUGUACUCACCCCGGCGCAGGCCAGCGUCGGUUCGGAUGGGGGGACAAAGGUCCUGGGAAUGUGGCUCCUCCGGGAGUGUUAUAGCCCAGGGCGUCAUGCCCCCGCCCGGACCGAGGUUCGCGCUCUGCAAGGACGCUGGCGUAAUGGUCCCCAGCGGCCCGUCUUGAAACACGGACCAAGGAGUCGAGGUUUUGCGCGAGUGUUUGGGUGUCAAACCCGCACGCGUAAUGAAAGUGAACGCAGGUGGGAGCUUCGGCGCACCACCGACCGAUCCUGAUGUUCUCGGAUGGAUUUGAGUAGGAGCGUAGGGCCUCGGACCCGAAAGAUGGUGAACUAUACGUGGAUAGGGUGAAGCCAGAGGAAAACUCUGGUGGAGGCUCGCAGCGGUUCUGACGUGCAAAUCGAUCGUCAAAUCUGCGUAUGGGGGCGAAAGACUAAUCGAACCAUCUAGUAGCUGGGUUACCGCCGA